UAACUUGAGAGUUUGAUCAUGGCUCAGAACGUACGCUGGCGGCACGCCUAACACAUGCAAGUCGAACG
rnacentral:rRNA from 1 species